GGUGAGUAAUGUCUGGGAAACUGCCUGAUGGAGGGGGAUAACUACUGGAAACGGUAGCUAAUACCGCAUAACGUCGCAAGACCAAAGAGGGGGACCUUCGGGCCUCUUGCCAUCGGAUGUGCCCAGAUGGGAUUAGCUAGUAGGUGGGGUAACGGCUCACCUAGGCGACGAUCCCUAGCUGGUCUGAGAGGAUGACCAGCCACACUGGAACUGAGACACGGUCCAGACUCCUACGGGAGGCAGCAGUGGGGAAUAUUGCACAAUGGGCGCAAGCCUGAUGCAGCCAUGCCGCGUGUAUGAAGAAGGCCUUCGGGUUGUAAAGUACUUUCAGCGGGGAGGAAGGGAGUAAAGUUAAUACCUUUGCUCAUUGACGUUACCCGCAGAAGAAGCACCGGCUAACUCCGUGCCAGCAGCCGCGGUAAUACGGAGGGUGCAAGCGUUAAUCGGAAUUACUGGGCGUAAAGCGCACGCAGGCGGUUUGUUAAGUCAGAUGUGAAAUCCCCGGGCUCAACC
rnacentral:rRNA from 1 species